UACGUAGGGUGCGAGCGUUGUCCGGAAUUAUUGGGCGUAAAGGGCUCGUAGGCGGUUUGUCGCGUCGGGAGUGAAAACACUGGGCUUAACUCCGUGCUUGCUUUCGAUACGGGCAGACUAGAGGCAUGCAGGGGAGAACGGAAUUCCUGGUGUAACGGUGAAAUGCGCAGAUAUCAGGAGGAACACCGGUGGCGAAGGCGGUUCUCUGGGCAUGGCCUGACGCUGAGGAGCGAAAGUGUGGGGAGCGAACAGG
rnacentral:rRNA from 1 species